rnacentral:rRNA from 1 species
UACGUAGGAGGCAAGCGUUGUCCGGAAUUACUGGGCGUAAAGCGCGCGUAGGCGGCUUUGCAAGUCGAGUGUGAAAUCCCCAGGCUUAACCUGGGAACUGCAUUCGAGACUGCAUAGCUAGAGUAUGGGAGAGGGAAGUGGAAUUUCAGGUGUAGCGGUGAAAUGCGUAGAUAUCUGAAGGAACAUCAGUGGCGAAAGCGACUUCCUGGACCAAUACUGACGCUCAUGUGCGAAAGCGUGGGGAGCAAACAGG